AGGCGCGUAGCUCAGUGGUCAGAGUCCCUCGCUGAUAACGAGGUUGUCAGCGGUUCAACUCCGCUCGCGCCUA
rnacentral:tRNA from 1 species